rnacentral:lncRNA from 1 species
GGCAUCCAAUACUUUUUCUUUGAGCUUUGGUGUGCUAAGGUGACUAUGACAUGUCUUAAUUUCUACUUGUCUGACUUCUCUGCUGAAGCAUCCUUCUACUUCUCCAAUAAGUGUGUUCACAUCUCUUGCAAGUCUAGAUUCUUUCAGGCUUUCUUUCUUUGAAGUUGCCAACCUUACUGUCCUCUUCCUUCCAGUAACACUUCCAGUGUAAAAUUUAAACCUCUUAUAUAGUCACAAAAAAAAAAAAUCUUGAGAUUCUAUGGUAUUGCUUUGAGACUCCCUGAAGCUUCAUUGAAUCAUUUGUUGGAGCUAUCCUAAAAAAAAAAAAAAAAAAAAAAAAAAAAAAAAAAAAAAAAAAAAAAAAAAAAACUUCAAUUCUACACUGUUUUACAUUAUUUUUUUCUCAUAGAACUUCUUGACACAUCUGUAUACAUGGUCAUCUUUUCUAUGGAUAAGGACAUCUUUAGCUCUUCCCAUGGAUUCUACAAAUAGUUUUCCUUCUUGAAAACUCAUUGUAUCUGCCAGAACCUUUAUUAUCAUGUUGAGUAAAAAGGGUGAAAAUGGAAUUACUUGACUUACCUGUUUUCUUGUAAUUGUGCUACUUUUAUUAGAGAUGAUAAAAACCAAAAAUGUUCACAGUGUAUAUACAAGUUCAAAAAUACAAAUCAAUAGGUCCUGAAACUUGG